rnacentral:rRNA from 1 species
UACGGAGGGAGCUAGCGUUGUUCGGAAUUACUGGGCGUAAAGCGCGCGUAGGCGGGUUGGUAAGUCCGCUGUGAAAGCCCGGAGCUUAACUCCGGAGGGUCGGUGGAUACUGCCAGUCUUGAAGGUGCUAGGGGGAGAUGGAAUUACCGGUGUAGCGGUGAAAUGCGUAGAUAUCGGUAGGAACACCAGUGGCGAAGGCGGUCUCCUGGGGCAUUCUUGACGCUGAGGCGCGAAAGCUGGGGGAGCAAACGGG